UCGCACCUACCGAUUGAAUGGUCCGGUGAAGCCUCGGGAUUGUGGUGAAUUUCCUUUACUGGGAGUUCAUUGCGAGAACUUGUCUAAACCUUAUCAUUUAGAGGAAGGUGAAGUCGUAACAAGGUUUCCGUAGGUGAACCUGCAGAAGGAUCA
rnacentral:rRNA from 1 species